CUUUACUGCCUCUCUCCAGCCAGCUCCAGCACUACAGGACAGGUAGAGACACAGCAGACAUCGGAAAGAUUUCUUUAAGGCCACCGAGGAGAAAUGAAACUUGGGUCGAUACUAAUGAUUCUUACAGGGAUUGGUGUUUAGAGGGAUGCAGAUGCUUGGCCACCCGUGGAAGUAGCUAUUGGACAGACACACUCAUCCGUGAGGACACAUCAAGCUAGAUCCUGAAGGGGAGAUAGAAGUGUCAUAUAGGCAAACGGGGAGAUUGGAAUUAAAUGUCACGUGGAAAAAAGCCAACAUGGCAUUCUGUUAAGAAGAUAGACAACCUAAGUGACGUCUAUCCUGCUUCAAAGACAAAACUCAGGAGGCUGUACAUUCAUUUAGAGCAGAGUAGACGAAACCUCCUAUUCUCUGGCUUGGGAACCAGGAGGAAUCACUGACUGAGAUUUGCCAACCAGACCUCUAUGAAGUGAGCUCUAUCACAUGGUACGUUUAUGAGAAGAGGAACCAGCAAUGUUUCCUUCCAUCUUCAACUAUACUAACAAGAUCCAUCUGAUGUGUAAGCUAGUCUGGGAAUUAGGGGCACAGAAAAUUGCAUAUUAAAGUCAUACAACGUUGUUUUUUAAGAAAAGCUCUUUCUGUGAUUUGUUGCUCCAAAUCUUUCUUCUCUUGUAUUAAAAACUAUAAUGUUGAGAAAUGAUUCUCUUUGCACCUGGUAACAAUAUUUUAGUAAGCCUCUUUUCAGUUUUGAAUAGUUUGUCAUUUUUCCAUGAGUACCUUCAGGUCAUACAUAUACUUGGCUUUUAAAUUUUUUUUUGGAAUGCUAUUGUAAUGGGCCUGCUGUUCAGUCCCACCACACACUUAGCUACUUCUUUUGGGUGCUUGGGUGCAGAUUUUCCUUUGAAGCCAGUCGGAGCUACAUGCACAGAUGAAACGUGUGGCAGGA